rnacentral:rRNA from 1 species
CUACGGGAGACAUCAGUUAGGAAUAUUCGUCAAUGGAGGAACCUCUGAACGAGCAAUGCCGCGUGAAGGAUGCCGGUCCUAUGGAUUGUAAACUUCUGUUGUUAGGGAAGGACGACUUAAGUAGGAAAUGACUUAAGAGUGACGGUACCUUUCAAGAAAGCUCCGGCUAACUAC